UUACAUAUGCAGUGACAGUAUUGCAGCCAAUAUGAUUAAUCCAAGGUGCAAUUAUUGCCAAUUGAAAAAGAAUGUGAUAUAAAAUAUUUUAAAGAAAUAAAUGUAUUAAGCAUCUGAAUAGGU